rnacentral:rRNA from 1 species
AAACUUCCAACAACGGAUCUCUUGGUUCUGGCAUCGAUGAAGAACGCAGCGAAAUGCGAUAAGUAAUGUGAAUUGCAGAAUUCAGUGAAUCAUCGAAUCUUUGAACGCACAUUGCGCCCCUUGGUAUUCCGGGAAACAUGCCUGUUCGAGCGUCAUU